GACGAACGCUGGCGGCGUGCUUAACACAUGCAAGUCGAACGGUAAGGCCCCUUCGGGGGUACACGAGUGGCGAACGGGUGAGUAACACGUGAGCAACCUGCCCUUGACUCCGGAAUAACAGCUGGAAACAGCUGCUAAUACCAGAUACGACUCAGUGCGACAUCGCAUCGAGUGGAAAGCCCUGGCGGUCAAGGAUGGGCUCGCGGCCUAUCAGCUUGUUGGNGAGGUAACGGCUCACCAAGGCUUCGACGGGUAGCCGGCCUGAGAGGGCGACCGGCCACACUGGGACUGAGAUACGGCCCAGACUCCUACGGGAGGCAGCAGUGGGGAAUCUUGCGCAAUGGCCUAACGGCUGACGCAGCGACGCCGCGUGAGGGAUGAAGCUCUUCGGAGUGUAAACCUCUGUUGAUCGGGACGAAUGGCGGAUUAUUCCGACUUGACGGUACCGAUUGAGGAAGCACCGGCUAACUCCGUGCC
rnacentral:rRNA from 1 species